rnacentral:rRNA from 1 species
AGAGUGAACGCUGGCGGUAGGCCUAACACAUGCAAGUCGAACGGCAGCACGGUAAGAGCUUGCUCUUAUGGGUGGCGAGUGGCGGACGGGUGAGGAAUACAUCGGAAUCUACCUUUUGGUGGGGGAUAACGUAGGGAAACUUACGCUAAUACCGCAUACGCCCUUCGGGGGAAAGCCGGGGACCAGCAAUGGCCUGGCGCUGAUAGAUGAGCCGAUGUCGGAUUAGCUAGUUGGUGAGGUAAUGGCUCACCAAGGCGACGAUCCGUAGCUGGUCUGAGAGGAUGAUCAGCCACACUGGAACUGGAGACACGGUCCAAGACUCCUACGGGA